rnacentral:rRNA from 1 species
UACGUAGGGUGCGAGCGUUGUCCGGAAUUAUUGGGCGUAAAGGGCUCGUAGGCGGUCUGUCGCGUCGGGAGUGAAAACUCAGGGCUUAACCCUGAGCCUGCUUCCGAUACGGGCAGACUAGAGGUAUGCAGGGGAGAACGGAAUUCCUGGUGUAGCGGUGGAAUGCGCAGAUAUCAGGAGGAAUACCGAUGGCGAAGGCAGGUCUCUGGGCUGACACUGACGCUCAUGCACGAAAGCGUGGGGAGCAAACAGG